rnacentral:lncRNA from 1 species
GAAUACACGCUGAGGCCUGCAAAUAGUUGUAAUACCUAUGGGAGAACAACCGUUUUGUGUUUGUUCUGAUUGAUUCCAGGAUCUGCAUUUAAACAUAAUUUUAAUUCUCUGGGUUUUAUCAGAUGCUCUAAUUGUAAUUAUUCUGAGUUCUUUGAAGAGUAAAACAAGCCCAGUGAAGACAACUACAAGAAUGGAAUGUGCUGCACUCGAGAACUUCAUUUCUGUGACAGAGGCUGCUCCCAUCUCAGAAACCCACACGAUCCAUGGCCAAGGGUGUGUGUUGAGGAAGAAAUCUGU